rnacentral:rRNA from 1 species
UGUAGUCAUAUGCUUGUCUCAAAGGUUAAUGCAUUCAUGUCUUAGUAUCAAAGAUUAACUCAUGCAAGUGAAGUAUAAACAAAUCAGUUAUAGUUUCUUUGGCAGUCGAUCUAAAUCAGCGAUAGUCCGUAGUAAUUCUAGAGCUACAUGAUGCGUCAAGGCCAGUUUGGGUCUAAAUCAUCCGAUCGAAUUUAUUAGAUCCGGGACAGUGCAAGUGUUGGUAGUCCAAGCGGCUCGUCUCACCGCUUCCUUGGUGAUUCAUAAUAAAUCACGAAUCGCAUGUCCUCGUCCCGGCGACGGUUCAUCAAAUAUCUGCCCUAUCACUUCGACAAGAGGAUCACG